AACCGGGCCGACUGCUGCCGGUAAACAACCAGAACCGGGCCGACUGCUUCCGGUAAACAACCAGAACCGGGCCGACUGCUUCCGGUAGACAACCAGAACCGGGCUGAAUAAACCAUUUUUGGAGCUGAUCUUGCAGCGGGUGGAGGCUCGGAUGGAUGACUCAGAAAGUGAAGUCAAACGCUGCGACACCUGGUGAAAUAUUUACAGUCCUGUAGGAGCGGCAGCCGGCAACAGUCGGUCGGUGAGGAAGCAGCUGUUUUUGGGUUCUCUGCCACCUCUGGCUGUGAGCCGAUAGGAGGAGAUCCGAGUGUCUGCUGACGGUAGCGAUGAUGAAGAUGUGAAGCAGCUCCUCUUCAUCAGCCGCUCUGGAGGAAACGGCAUUCGUCGCUCCCAGCAGCUCGGUGACAGAUUCGCUGCUACCUGUUGUUUUUCUGCACUCCAACGGCUGUGAUUCACCCAAACUGAGAUGUUUUCACCACCAUCUUUAUUCAUGUGUUAUAUAAGUGCUAACAAUGCAUGAAGCCACCCACCAGAACAGUUUAUCCCCAACGAGAACAGAGAAAUCAUCCAUUAUUAAAACAAAAGCCGAAGCUUCAUUUACAUAAACGCAGGUAAAAUGUCAGAUUUCUGAGGCCUUAAUAAAAACAUUCAAACCAGUAAAAUUCUGAUCAAUGAGAGAAAAAUCAAAGGAUCUGAAGGUAGAAAUGUAGAAAUGUAUCAGUCAGGAGACGACAAACAGCAGUGUUCCCUCAGAUGAACGUUGAGUAACCAUUGUCUGACCAUUUAUGAGGUCAGACACUGAUGUUGGCCGAGGAGGACCAAUUGAGAGAAGGACCGUUUCUCCCUCACUUCACUUCCCUCCAUGAUGCACCUCGGUUUGUGACCUGAAGCUCAAUUUAUUUCAGUUCAGUUUACUUAUAUACCACCAAAAAUAAUCAUUUUAAUUCAGUCACACUAAGAUUACCAACUGAUCCUUAAAGUCAAUUAAUCAAGCUCAGUUCAUUAUUCAGAUUAAUUUUAAAAACUUCUAUUUGGUCAUUGCCUUGCAGCAUUCAUUCCUCCUGGACCAGCAGGGGCCAACAUGGGCAGAAAAACCCCACACCCAUUCCCCAAAGUGCACCUCUGACAUUUUGUAACUACAUGAAAAAGACAUGGUGGAUGAGCAAGAAUGUCCUCCCAGCAGAGGUUCAGCCCAUAAAAACAAUCCUACCACCGUGUUGCUACUAACAACUGUUUGUUUUUUAUUUUGUUUUGUUGUUUUGGUUUUUUUUUUUACUUCUACGCAUGCUGCACGGUGUUGUACUCUUGCCCUCGGCGCCCUACACUGCCCCCUGGAGUGUAGGAGACUAUAGGCUACAGCAGGGUCGAUCCAGACAGAAAAUAAAGUUGUCAGCUUGAUUCAUAACAUCUAUUUUCCACACAAACUUUAGUUUUAGUCAGUUUUACUUCCUGACGGCGGAACCACUCUGGAAUCCACUGAACUUUGGAGAAAAAAAAAAUCUUCUUUAGUUUCACAUCAUGUUAUGUUAUUCGUGCAUCGAAAACAAACCUGGAGUGUUGCUUUGAUUCUUUCAUGCAUGUCUGAGAAAUCCUUUAAUCUCCAUGGCAACCAUUCAGCUGCAAACGCCUGGGUGAGCCCAGCUCUGGCUUUGGGUUGCAGCUUCUUCUCAAGAGCUUCAGUUUCCAAGCUUCGGCCUCACGGAGCAACCCAACCCUGUUACUCCAGCUCCUUCAGACUAGCCAGCAGCAAAUGGCUGGUGGAACUGCUGUAACUGCUGAGCUAGGAGGUACUUGUCAGAGCGACGCUGGUAAAAACGUUAAAGGGUUAAUUAAGGAGCCAUGUUGUGAUGACUUCCUGAAGACGGAGCUUCAAAAAGACCAGGAGCUUCGUAAAGAGACAGAGGCCCAAUUUUAAGGUGUUGAAUCAGGAAGUAGUAUUUCUUUAAGUUAUAUUUGAUAAAU